rnacentral:rRNA from 1 species
GUCGAACGGCAGCGGGUCCUUCGGGAUGCCGGCGAGUGGCGAACGGGUGAGUAAUGUAUCGGAACGUGCCCAGUAGCGGGGGAUAACUACGCGAAAGCGUGGCUAAUACCGCAUACGCCCUUAGGGGGAAAGGCGGGGAUCCUUCGGGACCUGUCACUAUUGGAGCGGCCGAUAUCGGAUUAGCUGGUUGGUGGGGUAAUGGCCUACCAAGGCGACGAUCCGUAGCUGGUUUGAGAGGACGACCAGCCACACUGGGACUGAGACACGGCCCAGACUCCUACGGGAGGCAGCAGUGGGGAAUUUUGGACAAUGGGGGCAACCCUGAUCCAGCCAUCCCGCGUGUGCGAUGAAGGCCUUCGGGUUGUAAAGCACUUUUGGCAGGGAAGAAAUUGCCUGGGUUAAUA